GCGGUUAUAGGAGGGUCGAGCGUUAAUUGGAAUUACUUGCGUAAAGCGUACGCUUGCGGUUUUUAAGCGAGAUGUGAAAGCCCCGGGCACAACCUGGGAACUGCAUUUCGAACUGGCAGACUAGAGUGUGAUAGAGGGUGGUAGAAUUUCAGGUGUGCGGUGAAAUGCGUAGAGAUCUGAAGGAAUACCGAUGGCGAAGGCAGCCACCUGGGUCAACACUGACGCUCAUGUACGAAAGCGUGGGGAGCAAACGGGAUUAGAUACCCCGGUAGUCCACGCCGUAAACGAUGUCUACUAGAAGCUGGGGUCUUCGGACAACUUUUUCAAAGCUAACGCAUUAAGUAGACCGCCUGGGGAGUACGGCCGCAAGGUUAAAACUCAAAUGAAUUGACGGGGGCCCGCACAAGCGGUGGAGCAUGUGGUUUAAUUCGAUGCAACGCGAAGAACCUUACCUACACUUGACAUAC
rnacentral:rRNA from 1 species